rnacentral:rRNA from 1 species
GGAUGAGUGGCGAACGGGUGAGUAACACGUGAGUAACCUGCCCCUGACUUCGGGAUAAGCCCGGGAAACUGGGUCUAAUACCGGAUACGACUGCCGGACGCAUGUCUGGUGGUGGAAAGUUUUUUCGGUUGGGGAUGGGCUCGCGGCCUAUCAGUUUGUUGGUGAGGUAAUGGCUCACCAAGACGACGACGGGUAGCCGGCCUGAGAGGGCGACCGGCCACACUGGGACUGAGACACGGCCCAGACUCCUACGGGAGGCAGCAGUGGGGAAUAUUGCACAAUGGGGGAAACCCUGAUGCAGCGACGCAGCGUGCGGGAUGACGGCCUUCGGGUUGUAAACCGCUUUCAGCAGGGAAGAAGCGCAAGUGACGGUACCUGCAGAAGAAGUACCGGCUAACUACGUGCCAGCAGCCGCGGUAAUACGUAGGGUACGAGCGUUGUCCGGAAUUAUUGGGCGUAAAGAGCUCGUAGGUGGUUGGUCACGUCUGCUGUGGAAACGCAACGCUUAACGUUGCGCGUGCAGUGGGUACGGGCUGACUAGAGUGCAGUAGGGGAGUCUGGAAUUCCUGGUGUAGCGGUGAAAUGCGCAGAUAUCAGGAGGAACACCGGUGGCGAAGGCGGGACUCUGGGCUGUAACUGACACUGAGGAGCGAAAGCAUGGGGGAGCGAACAGGAUUAGAUACCCUG